CCCUUAGAUGUUCUGGGCCGCACGCGUGCUACACUGAACGGUUCAAUGGGUAAGGUAGUGCGAAAGCAUGACCUAAUCUCGAAAUCCGUUCGUGCUGGGGAUAGAAGCUUGCAAUUAUCCUUCUUGAACGAGGAAUACCUUGUAAGCGUGAGUCAUCAUCUCACGCUGAAUACGUCCCUGCCCUUUGUACACACCGCCCGUCGCUCCUACCGAUUGAGUGUUCCGGUGAGGCUUUGGGAGAAUGGCCUCAACAUGAGUUUAUUGUGUUUUGCCGUUUGAACUUAGUCAAACCUUAUCACUUAGAGGAAGGAGAAGUCGUAACA
rnacentral:rRNA from 1 species